AGCAACCUUUGCACAACAUGUCUCCAUUUUAUUCCUUUGGAAAGAUCUGGCUAAAUAGAUUUGUCUGAGUGCUAAAAUGUGAUUAUUGAAGAUUUCCCUCUCUGUUAUAUUUAGAGAGACUGAAGGACCAACACUCAGUGUUUUCAAAGACUCUUUAGGAGAUGUCGCUAACUUGACCAAGUGAGGAUAAGAACGCAAAGUCCCCAUGACAAUGUAAUCACUAUGGAGUGACUAUUGAUUGGAACAAAGAAAGCAGGAGUUUCACUUGGGGGAAGGGCGAUAAACUUGUUGAGUGCUGUAGAGGAGGUCAAGUGAAGGACUUUUUCAUAUCUCUGUAUGUUGCAUGAUUUAAGACGUGUGUAAAAAGCACUACCAGUUUGUUCUGUAGAUGAUGUAUUGAGAUAAAGUAGCUACAUGGUUAAGAAAGGCUUUGGCAUUUUCAAUGUGUUCAACCACAGGCAAACCACAGUCAAAUCCCAGUGUUCCUGCUUCCUGAUCAUCACCUAAAGAACUGCCAAGUGUAUUUAUGGCAAUUUGAAUUAUGAUACCUAUGUCCUAAUCAGACACAAAUGCAAAAAAACAACAAAAAAACAACAACAACAACACCCCCCCCCUCCCCCCACAACCCUUCACACACGGUGGUGUUUUGGACCAAGAGCAUUUGUUGUGUUGAGGAAAUCUUAAGGGAAGAAGAUAAAAGUGAGCUCCUGACAAGUGUUUACAGCCAACAUGCUGACAUUGAAUAGUGAGAGAAAGAGAGAGAGGAAAGGCCCUAAGAACACAAGCAGAGAUUGUGAACAAUGGCUCCAUGGCUAAGAGAAGAAAGGGAGGAAAAAACAUUUAAAAAAAAAAAUACUCUGGUGUGGACUCCUAUAUUACUCUCAAAAGAUUUUUCCCCCUAGUGCACUGCACAUAAUAUACAGAAUACAUGAUAUGCAGUUGAUUUGACUAAUCAGACUACCAUUUACAUUACAACAGUGCACUCAACAAAUACAGAAACUCAGAUAUACAUGCUUAUUUAAAUAAAGAUGUCCAUUAUUGAGCCUGACUUAAAUUAGCCCAAAAAUUAUUCAUAAAAUGCUAUUUGUAUCCCAUUGAUAUUUCACUGAAAAAUAUGUACACGUUUUAGGCAUAUUGGUACAGUGUCAAACUACUAUAUGUGCAUAUUUAGCACAACAUUCGCUCAAC
ensembl:lncRNA